UUUGAUGCGGAUCCGGAUCAAGGUUAUUUCCACAAAAUUGACUGAAUUUUUUUAACACUGUAAGAUCUGAGGAUCUUUAUAAACUAAUGUGUGUUCAGGGUGUUCAGCGACAAGACGUUACUCAGUGUGUUCAACCAGGAAUUCUCUACAAACAAUCGAUCAAUCACACGGAACCCUACAUGCACAAUUUUCUACAUUUAAUCACGUGUUCAACUCUAUAUAAUUAAUUGAGAUUUUUAAUGUAACUAUUUAAAGGCCAAUUUUUAUAAAGAAUAACCUGAUUUUGUUUUAUAAUGCAGAACCUGAGUUUUAUGGUUGAAAAUGUUUUAUAAUUUAACCUAUAUAUAUAAUAUUUAGCCAAAACCUAUAUAUUGUUUUUAAAAAGCCUAAGCCUGAAAACUUUGUAAAUAAUGAGUUUUAUCUUUCAGAACACACUGGGUUAGUUGCCCCCUUCUAACCUGAAAUUGUGUUUCUUUCUCCAGAUAAUUGUGAUUGUUGUGAUUCCUCUAAAUAGUUCCGGGCUCGUAUCCGUGCUUUAAACCAGGCUGGCACGAGUCCCGUUGAUAUACAACCUCGACUUGCUCCGCUGACUCGCGGAGAAGUUCUUAACUCCUGAGAUGGUUCCGUUUUCUUCUAAUCUGAGAUGGUUCAGUUCUCUUCUACUCCCACCUACUAAUCUUGACAUCCUGAGUCUAAGGAAGUCUAUAUAAAGACCUCUGUUGUCAAGUCUCCGACAUCACCGGAAGCUGAGUCAUCCUUGUUCUCUGGAUCCUCAGCUUAUGCUCCAGAAUAUCCUGCUGGCACUCUAGAGACCCAUAUACCUCUACGUACCAGGUCUGCACAACUUUGGCUUAGUUGUAUCCUCUUCUCCGGUUUCUCCGACGA